AAGCUCGUAGUUGAAUUUCGGGGUUAGUAGGUUGGUCAUGCCUCUGGUAUGUACUGGUCUCACUGAUUCCUCCUUCCUUAUGAACCGUAAUGCCAUUAAUUUGGUGUUGCGGGGAAUUUGGACUGUUAUUUUGAAAAAAUUGAGUGUUUAAAAGCAAGCUAACGCUUGAAUACAUUAGCAUGGAAUAAUGAAAUAGGACGUUCGAUCUUAUUUUGUUGGUUUCUAGGUAUUGACGUAAUGAUUAAUAGGAUAGUUGGG
rnacentral:rRNA from 1 species